rnacentral:lncRNA from 1 species
GUCAAUUGUUUGAUUGUGAUAUUGGUGGCGGUCUUUGAAUCAAUGUCUGUGGAAUUAAUUCCUGUUGAGGAUAAGGGCUCCUGGACAUAGAUCUUUGUUCAGAAUUAGACCUCACACCAUCAUCAGUCGAUGACGAGUCAUAGGGGCAUUCACCUCCAUCGGCAUUAUUAGGCGCACUAUCAUCACUCUGCGAUAAUUCAUCACAAUUCUCUUGAUCACCAUUUUCAAUAUCUUCUGAAACAACAAGUUGAUCUCGCUUGACAUAAUCCCUGUAUUUUAUAUAAUUAAGUAUUUUCAGUACAUGUUAUAAAUUAAUAUAAGCUUGACUAUAUUUUUCAUAUUGAUAAUAGUCGAUAGCAUCAAAAUUCAUUGACAGAGGAAUAUUUGAAGAUGUUCCAACAUUGUCCACCAAUCAAGCUGUGAUGAUUG